rnacentral:rRNA from 1 species
UCCGCCCGAGUACUACAAGCACUAGCUUAAAACUCAAAGGACUUGGCGGUGUCUCAGACCCAUCUAGAGGAGCCUGCUCUAGAACCGAUAACCCCCGUUUAACCUCACCACCCCUUGUUUUCCCCGCCUAUAUACCGCCGUCAUCAGCCAACCCCAUGAAGGGACAAUAGUAGGCAAGAAGGGACCGCCCCCAAAUGUCAGGCCGAGGUGUAGCGCACGAGGUGGAUAGAAGUGGGCUACAUUCUCUACACUAGAAUACUACGGAAGGCACCCUGAAACACAUGCCUGAAGGUGGAUUUAGUAGUAAAAAGCAAA